rnacentral:rRNA from 1 species
AGUCGAGCGAACCUUCGGGGUGAGCGGCGGACGGGUGAGUAACGCGUGGGUAACCUGCCCUGUACACACGGAUAACAUACCGAAAGGUAUGCUAAUACGGGAUAACAUAUGAGAGUCGCAUGGCUUUUGUAUCAAAGCUCCGGCGGUACAGGAUGGACCCGCGUCUGAUUAGCUAGUUGGUAAGGUAACGGCUUACCAAGGCAACGAUCAGUAGCCGACCUGAGAGGGUGAUCGGCCACAUUGGAACUGAGACACGGUCCAAACUCCUACGGGAGGCAGCAGUGGGGAAUAUUGCACAAUGGGCGAAAGCCUGAUGCAGCAACGCCGCGUGAGCGAUGAAGGCCUUCGGGUCGUAAAGCUCUGUCCUCAAGGAAGAUAAUGACGGUACUUGAGGAGGAAGCCCCGGCUAACUACGUGCCAGCAGCCGCGGUAAUACGUAGGGGGCUAGCGUUAUCCGGAAUUACUGGGCGUAAAGGGUGCGUAGGCGGUCUUUCAAGCCAGAAGUGAAAGGCUACGGCUCAACCGUAGUAAGCUUUUGGAACUGUAGGACUUGAGUGCAGGAGAGGAGAGUGGAAUUCCUAGUGUAGCGGUGAAAUGCGUAGAUAUUAGGAGGAACACCAGUAGCGAAGGCGGCUCUCUGGACUGUAACUGACGCUGAGGCACGAAAGCGUGGGGAGCAAACAGGAUUAGAUACCCUGGUAGUCCACGCCGUANACGAUGAGUACUAGGUGUNGGGGGUUACCCCCCUCGGUGCCGCAGCUAACGCAUUAAGUACUCCGCCUGGGAAGUACGNCUCGCAGAGUGAAAC